AAAACAUCGCCUCUUGAUAGCUAUAAGAGGUCCAGCCUGCCCAGUGAUAAAUUCAACGGCCGCGGUAUCCUAACCGUGCGAAGGUAGCAUAAUCACUUGUUCUUUAAAUAGGGACUCGUAUCAACGGCAUCACGAGGGUUACACUGUCUCCUCUUUCCAAUCAGUGAAACUGAUCUUCCCGUGAAGAAGCGGGAAUGAACUAAUAAGACGAGAAGACCCCAUGGAGCUUUAAACCUCACAGCAACUCUAACAUAUAUUUCCCCAUAACCCGCAGAGCAAUGCUAGUCGGUUUUAGGUUGGGGUGACCGCGGAGCAAAAACUACCCUCCACGACGAACAGAACUAAAUCUUUAUCCAAGAGCAACCACUCUAAGAACUAGCACACUAACGUAUCAUGACCCGAUAAUCGAUCAACGGACCAAGUUACCCUGGGGAUAACAGCGCAAUCUGCUUCAAGAGCCCAUAUCGACAAGCAGGCUUACGACCUCGAUGUUGGAUCAGGGUACCCCAGUGGUGCAGCCGCUACUAACGGUUCGUU
rnacentral:rRNA from 1 species